rnacentral:rRNA from 1 species
CCUACGGGAGGCAGCAGUGGGGGAUAUUGCACAAUGGGGGGAACCCUGAUGCAGCGACGCCGCGUGGGUGAAGAAGCGCCUCGGCGCGUAAAGCCCUGUCAGCAGGGAAGAAAAUGACGGUACCUGACUAAGAAGCCCCGGCUAACUACGUGCCAGCAGCCGCGGUAAUACGUAGGGGGCAAGCGUUAUCCGGAUUUACUGGGUGUAAAGGGAGCGUAGACGGCUGGCCAAGUCUGAAGUGAAAGCCCGGGGCUUAACCCCGGAACGGCUUUGGAAACUGGCCGGCUGGAGUGCUGGAGAGGCAG